GACAGAGGUGCCAAGCGUUUAGGCGGAAUCACUGGGCUUAAAAGCGUGUGUAGGCGGCCCGUUAAGUACCUUGUGAAAUCCCACGGCUCAACCGUGGAACUGCUGGGUAUACUGGGCGGGCUUGGGCCACGUUCAGGGGCAGACGGAACAGGCGGUGGAGCGGUGAAAUGCGUAGAUAUCGCCUGGAACGCCGAAGGUGAAAACAGUCUGCUGGGGGUGUGCC
rnacentral:rRNA from 1 species